rnacentral:rRNA from 1 species
UACGUAGGGGGCUAGCGUUGUCCGGAAUCAUUGGGCGUAAAGCGCGUGUAGGCGGUCCGGUAAGUCCGCUGUGAAACUCGGGGCUUAACCCCGAGCCUGCUUCCGAUACGGGCAGACUAGAGGUAGGCAGGGGAGAGCGGAACUCCUGGUGUAGCGGUGGAAUGCGCAGAUAUCAGGAAGAACACCGGUGGCGAAGGCGGCUCUCUGGGCCUUACCUGACGCUGAGGAGCGAAAGCGUGGGGAGCAAACAGG